CUGGGAUGAGAGCGCAUCAGAGGAUUCCUAAGCAGGGGGGUGGGCUCCCUGCAUCCCCCAGUGCGAGUUCCUCCAUCCUUCUCUGCAUCAUCUCUAGCCUUCCAUCAUAGAUGACCAGUGCUUUUUCCUCUUAGUUUGUUUAAACUCUGGCUGCUGCCUGAUUUCAGGGCUUUACUGUGUAGACUGAGCAACUAGAGAGGUGCCAGGACUACGAUAUGUUGAAGCCGUGAUACAGCUGAAAGUUGGGAUACAGGGAAGAAUUGUUAUUUCUGGGCCAGCUGUGGGUUGCUGCAGUCACAUGACUAGUUCUGGCCAGUGAGAGUGGGGAGUGAGAGAACUGCAUCACACUUCCAGGUAUGCCUUCUCUCUUGUUGCUGUUGAUUCAAUCAGUCAACCAACAAGUAUUUAUCAUGCUUUACUAUGUGCUCAGAACUCUAUCGGGAGCCAAGGAAGAUAACAGAAAAAAACAUGGCCUCUGUCCUCAAGGAACAAUUUAAAAUAUAGUUAUCCUGUCAAAUCUGCAUUACCCAAGACCUUCUGCGAGCCUUCAGUCAGCAGUCAGCCAGCCUAGAAAUAUUUAUUACACAUUGCUGUGCGCCUGGGGUACAGAGAGUGGAUGAGUCGGACAAGGUCCUAGUUCACAUAGAGCUUACAUUCCAGUAGAAGAAAGAAGCAAGUUCAGAAAUGGAGAGCCAGCUCACAUUGGAUGUCUUCAUCAACCUGGACUACACACAUGGUGAGUGAAGGCAGAACAAUGACAAUUGAAAAUGCAGGCCAAUCUCCCACAGCUUCCUAGAUGCAAAAAAAUGUAUCAGUGACCACUCUACAACAUUCAUUGUGGGAGGCUCAAAGUGACUAUAUUUUAUUGCAUUGCAAAGCAGCGUGCCAAGGACUUAACCCAGCUCCAUAACCAUAGCAGGUGCCUCAUCAACACAUUAUAUAUGGAGAUUAUGAUGAAGCUCAUAUAUACGCACAGUGUCUUAGGAGGCCUGGAACCUACUCCUAGGGUACAUGCAAAAUGUCAGAAGAGGAGUCAAUGCAGUCCAGAAAGCCAUAUUAUUGAGUGCCCACUGGAUUCCAGGCUAAUUCUAGGCAUCAAGAUGAAUUGGAAGAUGGCAGCCAGUUCCUACUCAGAAGGAAGGAAGUGUGAAGAGGCAAACGAUGAUAGCUGGAGUGAAGCAGCACAGCCUAUUUCAGGAAUCAUGGCAACAGGUGGACUAGGAAGACAGAGAUAUUGAAACCAUUGAACCGCCUGGUGGGUGCCCAGCCAGUACCCCAGGGCGGGUAUCGGGGCACUGAAAUCUGGGAUGGGAGGCUGCAGCAGGCCACUCGGGUACCCGACACCCCCUCCAGCACUGCCCUGAGGGCCCCCCUUCAUAACCCUGCCCUGUAUCCCCUUCUUUCAUGUAAACUACAUAAACAGUCUAUUUUCCUUCCCUCUCUCGCUGAGGAUUUGUAUUAGAUGGAAGCCACUUACUGGACAUUUCAAUGAAGCAGUUGUUCUAUUUGGACCAAAACCUAUGAGCACCCAGACACAUCUAAGACCUGCGUGUUGCUCUCUGAGCCUAAAAGAACUGACUUUCAGAUAAUGAUGUCCCUUUUAUCUUUAAAGGAGGGUGGAGCCUGAAGGGGGAUCCAGUCCCAAUCACCAGGUGUGUGCUGAACUAUAUGCAUUAGCUUUAAAGACAUACAUUAGGGCUUGGAGGUGAGUCUGUGGCGUUGAGCUUUGGCAAGAUGCCCUGCUUUUAGGCAGAUUGUAAAUUAUAAAUAAAUAGUCUCUGUUCUUCUUUUGCUUCAGCAUGUAAUGAAAAACAACAGAGCCCUGCCUGCACAAUUCUUCUGUUUCCGCCUCAGAUUUGCUGUUAACAGUUCCUGACUGGAAAUGACUCCAGGCAGUCACAGACACUGGCUUUUAUUAUCAUGUCGGCGUCUUAUUUAAAUCCACAGUUCCCAGACAUCAAUUUAGCAAAGCCUCUCUCACCCCAUGGGGAUGUGGAUGCACCCUCAGAGCCAAACAUCAAGCUCCCUGUUGUUGUGGGGGAGGUGUGAUUGUGGCCCACCCUGGUGUGGAUGUAAGACAACGGGUCUUUAGAUUAUUUAGCAGCAAAAGCAAGAGAAGGAAUCUGGAGC